rnacentral:misc_RNA from 1 species
AACACCUCAAAGUCUUUUUUUCUUGAAGAAAAGACCUUGGACUUGAGCAAUCCCAACUCUUCUUUCAGAAGAGGCGGGUUGCUUGAAAUGCAGGUGCAGCUGGACAUUCUCCUGAGCUAAAAGCAUAUUCAUUUAGUCCCGUCAAACGGAUUAUUACUUUUGCUGCAGCUAACAUAAAGGGAGUUUGACCAUUUUGGCUGACUGAUGCAGGAAUUUCACAAGAGUCUUCAAAACACUCUUGUUAA